CACAGAAUCCUAAGCAGCUCCAGGCUCUGAGCUGUCAGCACAGAGCCCAAUGCGAAGCUCAAACUCAAAAGCCCUGAGAUCAUGACCUGAGCCAAGUCAGACUGGGCCACCCCGGUGCCUCUCAUAACAAUUCUUUGAAAGGAAGGAGGAAGUUACUAGCCAGGCAAGAACUGGCUAUUUUCGGGCACAGAGGAAGGUGUUGGGAAUAUGCAUGGCCAUCCUAAUGUGUCAUUGGGAUUCUGUUUUCCAUUUCUGUAAUGAUUACACAGAGAGGUGCAAAUUGCCCAUAUUUUCCUCUUAUGAAAAAAUUCUCAAUGGAGGCAAGGAGCAGUGGAUCAUUUCAAACUUACCACAGCAACAGCUUCGGGAAAGAAGGCAUAUGUAAGAUGACAUUGUAAGCCACAUUGGUCAGCAAAUAAAGGACGGUCACAACGGGCAUGGAUACAGAAACAGACACUGGUAGAGUCCAAAGAAGAAAAACAAAAGGACAUUUUACUGUUUGAACAUUUGAAAAGAACCCAAGAAUAUAAGCAUUGCAUCCAAAUGGAAGAUUUUCCUGUGGGCAAAGGUGAUGACUCUCCUCACAGUUUAGAGCACUUUCUCCAAGACAUCUUUUCUCUCACUUUCUCUCACUUUCUCUUUAAUCCAUUAAGAAACUGUCAUCCUGAUGAACACUGGGUGUUGUAUGGAAACCAAU